rnacentral:lncRNA from 1 species
GCUGAGCAGAUGGGGAUAGCUGCUGGGUUUGGAGGAUGUGGAGAAAUUUGUAGGUGUUGCUUGUCAUGGACCCAUUUCCUGGUUCUUCUCCUUAAGGGCAUUGUUUCAACUACCCUAGCUGACUGCAUAGAAAGUCAAGGAUUCAUUCUUGCUGAAAUCUCUGAGCCAGCAUGAAGGCACUGUCAGCAGAACUCAUACGUGUUUGACUGCAACUCUGUCUGUACAGAGAAGAAGGCGGCUUUAAUAUUCACCCUUCAAGGUUAAUCAGGUCUUUAAUAAAAGACCAUGGAAAUGUCAGCAGUCUGAACAAACAAACCAGAACUGUAACCGAAUGUUCGUUCAAACAAAG